UACUAGCGGUCCAAGUCGCAGCCAUCUUUAUUGGGUCUAAAACAUCCGUAGCUUGCUUAACAAGUUUCUUGUGAAAUCUUAUAUCUUAAGGAUAAGGCGUGCAAGAAAUACUAUUAAGCUAGAGACUGGAAGACGUAGAAAGUACAUUCAGAGUAGUGGCUAAAUACGUUAAUCCUGGAUGGACUAACAAGAGCGAAGGCAUUCUACGAGGACAGUUCUGACAGUAAGGGAUGAAGGCUAGGGGCGCGAAACGGAUUAGAUACCCGUGUAGUCCUAGCAGUAAACACUGCACACUAAACAUUAGUACCUCCUCGAGAGGUAUUAGUGCUGAAGGGAAGCCGAAGAGUGUGCUACCUGGGAAGUAUAGUCGCAAGGCCGAAACUUAAAGGAAUUGGCGGGGAGACACUACAAUGGGUGACGCGUGCGGUUCAAUCAGAUUCUACACCGUGAACCUUACCAGGACCGACAGCAGGAUGAAGGUCAGUCUAAAGGGCUUACCUGACACGCUGAGAGGAGUUGCAUGGCCGACGUCAGCCUGUGCCGUGAGGUGACCUGUUAAAUCAGGUAACAGGCAAGACCCACAUGUAUAUUUACUAUUCGUACUAUAUACAGAUUGCCUUGGUAACGAGGAUGAAAGUGUGGGCUACGUUAGGUGAGUACAGCCCGACAGCCCUGGGUUACACGCGCGCGUCAAUGGUGAAUACAACGGGACGCAACUCUGAAAGGAGAAGCUAAUCUCUUAAAGUUCAUCUUAGUUCAGAUUGAGGUUUGUAACUCAGCCUCAUGACGCUGGAAUCCAUAGUAAUCGUUUGUUAUCAACGAACGGUGAAUAUGUCACGGUCUCU
rnacentral:rRNA from 1 species